GGAGUAAAUAGGCUUGUAGCAGUCAAGCACAGCUUGUUUGCAUUAGCAACCAUCAGCUGUGAGGUGAUGGCUUAAGGAAAUGGAUAGAUUGUUGUGUCGGGGCACUGGGACCUUCCAGGAGAAGCAUUUGUGAUUCUUCAUUGCAUGCACUCAAAGGCAACUGUCCAGGAAAGACUCCACAGUCUGCAGCAGCCCAGGGGAGCAAGGAUGUGUCACCAGCACAGCAGCUCUGACUCGGGUCCAUGGGGAGAGAAGUGAUGCACAUGCUCCCUGUAAUAGCUUCUCCAGCCUGCUCACUCCAAUAAUAGUCUCCGUGUGUGAAAUUUCACCUGACCUGAACUUUCCCGAGUUUAUCCAGCCUUCACCCUGACAGUUCAGAGCAGAACUGUUUUUAUGCCUCGCAACCCAGACACCAAAUUGGAGCUGAAGUGACGUUUAUUGUUUCAACAGUGUUAUUAUAUGAAGAUUGAGCUCAUUACAAACACGACCUGUUUUUGAGCCAGGACACAUAUUAAUUUGGAUAAAAUACCAGCUGUGUCCUCUCUCCAUAUGGCCUUAUCAGGAAAACAAACUGGGUUAAGUUUCAUUCCAAAGAAUGAAAAUGUAAUUGAAUACUUGCUUCGUUUGAGGAAACUCAAAUAAUCAUUAUCGUCACGUCUCUGCUAAUCGCAGCAGAGAGGGGGCAGAGGUGUUUAUUUCUGUGCAUAUCUAAAAAUAAACCAAGGCACAAUUCCUGUGGGGGGGGGGGAACAGAGGGCAGC